UAGGGAAUCUUCCACAAUGGACGCAAGUCUGAUGGAGCAACGCCGCGUGAGUGAAGAAGGGUUUCGGCUCGUAAAGCUCUGUUGGUGGUGAAGAAAGAUAGAGGUAGUAACUGGCCUUUAUUUGACGGUAAUCACCUAGAAAGUCACGGCUAACUACGUGCCAGCAGCCGCGGUAAUACGUAGGUGGCAAGCGUUGUCCGGAUUUAUUGGGCGUAAAGCGAGUGCAGGCGGUUUAAUAAGUCUGAUGUGAAAGCCUUCGGCUCAACCGGAGAAUUGCAUCAGAAACUGUUGAACUUGAGUGCAGAAGAGGAGAGUGGAACUCCAUGUGUAGCGGUGGAAUGCGUAGAUAUAUGGAAGAACACCAGUGGCGAAGGCGGCUCUCUGGUCUGCAACUGACGCUGAGGCUCGAAAGCAUGGGUAGCGAACAGG
rnacentral:rRNA from 1 species